UUUGAGACAACUACAACAUUUUCCUCUUUUAAUUGAACAAGAUCAGCUCUGGGUCCUAGGAAAAGCUGGAAUGUGGUCAUGAUUCUUCUUUUCUUAAACCACUGUUGGAUUUUGUUCUACAUUUCAUGUGUUAUUGAGUCACGUCCACAUGUUCCUGGCUUUCCCCUAACUUUAUGAUUUUCUCCUCUUUUUUGUUUGAAACGGGGUGUUGUUAUGUAGCUUCUGUUGUUCUUAAUCUUGUUAUAUUGUCCAGACUGGAUUUCAACUUAAUAUUCUCCUCACUCAGCAUCCACUUUGCCGAGAUUAUAAUCCUGUAACCUACAGCUACCUUUUACUUUUCUGUUUUAGCAUCAAAGAUCCCCAGCCUGGUAAAGUCUCCUGAGGUUGUUUGCUUGAAGGGUUUGUAAUCAUUUGGAUCCAUGUGUCUGACUUUGUUUCCCUCCUUCACCAUCUGUGUGUGCAUGUGUGUGCGUGUGCCUCUGUGUGUGUGUGUGUGUGUGUGUGUGUGUGUGUGUGUGUGUGUGUGUGUGCCUGCACCUAGGAAUGAAUUCAGAGUCUCACACAGGCUUUCCAAAUGAGUUAUUCUCUUGAGGAAUUCAUGUUUCUUGAAUGUAGAACAGAACUUGCUAGAAAAAUAUCCUGGUUUUGGUGUUUUCUUUUGGGGGAAACGCUGUAACUCUCAUUCACUCUCUAGUGGCGAUAUGAAUGCUCCAGUCCCCUCAGUUUUCUUUUGGUAGAUUAUAUUUUUCAAGAAUUCAUCAAUUUUCUCUACAUUUUCCAAUCAAUUGGUAUGUAUGACAAUAGCGCUGUUUCCCUAAAAUUAUUUAAACUUGAUUAGUAUUAAGUUAAUUUAGUGUUAAAUGUUAAAUGUAGGAGAUAUUGUAAGAUUUUUUUCCCAUCAGCAUUAGACAGGUGUGGUGGUUUAAAUAGGUUUAUCGCUCAUAGAUUUUUCUGUUUGAAUGUUUGGCCCAUGGGCAAUGCUACUAUUAGGAGGCAUAGCCUCGAUGGAGUAGGUGUGGCCUUAAAGGAGGUGUGGCCUUGGAGGAGGAGUGGCACUGUAGGGGUGAGCUUUGAGGUCUCCUAUGCUUAAGUUCCACCCAGUGUCAAAUUCCAGUCUCUUCCUGGCUGCCUUUGGAUCAAGAUGUAGAGCUCUGUGCUCCUCCAGCACCAUGUCUACCUGUACACUGCCAUAUUUCCUGCCAUGACGAUAAGGGACUGAACCAUUAAAACCUGUAAGCCAGCCACAAUUAAAUGCUGUACUUUUGUAAGAAUGACCUUGGUCAUGGUGUCUCUUCACAGCAGUCAAACCCUAAGAUAGAAGAUUAGAUACUAAGUGUUUAAAAUGCUAAACUUUAUAUUUUUCUUUCUCCUUUUAAAUUUUUGUUUCUUUUGAUUUUUGAGAAAAGAUUUGUCUCCGUAGUCAGGGCUGGUGUAGAGCUCAUCAGUGUCCCAGUUCUGGAAUUACAGCCCUGAACCACCCUGCCCAGCUGUUUAAUGUUUUAAAUAGCCUAAGCUAAUUUAAUUAAGCAUAGAAGUGAUAUUAAACACUGAGAGGACACAUGAGCUAACUGAGCCAUAAUCAAAGAGCAAGGUAAGGAGACAACAUAAAAACAAUAGCUUGAUACACAAAAUAACAAGUUGUGCAAGCUGAACCAAACAAAACUAGUCCUUUGAUUCUUCAAAAUAAGUAACCAGACAAAGAUCAUCAAGUAUUCUUUCCCAUGCAAAAAAAAAUCUCUUCAGUCAUUUAAAACACUGCUGAUAAUUUUAGGUUACAAAGUGAUACAGAGGAGUCAGACCUGUUGGCUUUUGUUUAAUUCUCAAGAGAAAGAGACCUGCAGGGGCAGUGGAGUAAGAAUUCUUAUUAAAAGAAAAUAAGGUAAAAGGAUUGGAGAGAUGGCUCAGUAGGUUAGAGCCCUGGCUCUUCUUCCAGAUGACUGGGGUUUGAUUCUCAGCACCCAAAUGUCAGCACCCAGCUCUCUAUAACUCCAGUUCCAAGGGGUCUGAUGCCCUCUUCUGGCUUCUGUGGGCACUGCAUGCAGGUGGUGCACAGACAUCCAUGAAAGCAAAACACCCAUAUUUACAAUGUUAACUUUUGAAAUUUGGACAGUUGGAAAGAUUAUGUGAGGGAAUCAUGGUACUGUGUGCCUAGCACAAUGGAGAUGGAGGCUAGAGCAUCAUGAAUUAGUUCAGUUAAGCUACAUUGCAAGAUUCUCAUAGUAAAACAAGUAAAAUGGAUUAUAUGUCAAAAGAACUUGGAAUUUAAUUUUCUCAUGUUCAUAUUUUUAUUGUUAUCUUGUAAAAGAUUUUUCAACUACUUUAAUUCUGGGUGUGUGUUCAAGCAUACAUGCCUGCACAGUAUAAUACAAUGCCCAUGGGUAGAAGAGGGUGACUUGUUCCCCUGAAACUGGAGUUAGAAUUGGGUCUGAGUGUCCAAGUAGGUGCUGAGAACUGAACUAGGUCCUCUGCAAGGGCAGCAAGUCCUGUCAGCCUCUGAGCCAUCUGUCCAGCCUCCUGUCAUCUCUUUCUAAAAGGAAAAGGGAAUUUUACAGUAAUGACUAUGCUGUUAGACUAUAGAGCUUUCCCAGGGACAGAAGGCUCUUGCAUUCCAUCCCAAAUGCCUGCUUCAUCGACAAGAAGAAAUCACCAAAGAUUAUCAUCACAGCCUGGGAGUGGAGCCACCUCCGCACUUGGUGAAAAGGUCCAGCCCAGUGACCUCUCAAACCUCAACAUGCUUAGGAGACACCUGCCAGUGUAAAGUUCCAAAACUGGGAAGCAAGACCUUAGCACUCCAAGGAGUUCCCAGGUCAGGCAGUCGCAAGGCCCACCCAUGUCGCGCGCCCAAUGUCCCACCAGCAAGAAUGACGCCCGGCAACAGGUUUCUUCUGCGAACAAGCCUUUACUGUGUUACAGCUCUUCUUAGUGUUACAGCUCUCUUAGUGUUACAGCUCUCUUGAACAGGGACCCCGAGCAGCAAAAUCGCUCGACUUAUAUAGACAACAGUAUGCUAAUUAUCUCUCAGGGAUUGGUGGGGCAUGGAUCACCCCACUAUCACCCCACUACUUGUCCUCCAGGGAUUGGCGGAGAAUGAAUCACCCCAUUAGCAUGGUACUGCCCCUCAUUAACAUAUUAACGGUCAACUGACACCUGGUGCAUAAACCGCACAUGUGCAGUACCGCUGUUCACCACUAGAGGGAGCCCUAGCAAGGGGACAAGCCUGCACAUGCGCAGUAAGUUGUCGACAUCCAGACAAGGCUGGAUGUCGGCGCCAUCUUUGUUUCGCCGCGCCGCUCUCUACACACCCAGAAGAGGCCAAUCUUCCGCAGUGACCACCUGGUUCACAGAGGCUCUUUCCCACCAGGCAGUAGAUGUGGUGCUGAGCCCCAUGUUCGCUGGCUGAAACUUCGAAGACAUAUGCAAUACACAGCAAGGUCUCCUGUGUGUCUCGGUUGGUGACCACCUGCAGUAGAGAAGGUGAAGGUCAAAACCCUGGAUAGGGAAGCCAUUGGCACCACCCACUGAUGCACUCCCUUAUGGGCAUCUGCCGCAUGUCGUACCUGCAGGAUGGUGAAGUUCUCCAGCACGCUGUUCAUCAUGUACUUCUCUGGCUGCCUGCCCUGAAGAGAAGCAGGAAAUUCUGCCCAAGUGGAAGGUUUCUGUGGCUCUCCAUAUUUGAAAAAUAUAGGAGAGCCUCUGCUAUCCCUGAAUCCUGGCUUGGUGCCGGUCUUUCUGGUUGCUUCCAAAACAAUAGAACUCCCAGCACGACUGACUCUGGAUCUGGGCUCAGUGCAGUAUUGUUGUCGAUGGAAAAAGAACUCAAGAGAGAUGCACACACAUGCACCCCAGAUGCAAGCCAGGGCCACAUAGACUAGGCAAGUGCUCCACAACUGUACUAGUCUGACCUCUACGUUGUCUCCUUUCUGGGGUUUCCAGUCUCUCGCCCAGUUUCAGGCAAAGCCUGACCACCCACCAUCAGUCCACCUGCUUUCCAGAGAGCUGACUGAGGCACCGAGGGAGGCAGAAGGUCUGCAGGGCACUUUCGAGGUAUGUUUUUUGGCUACUGUGAUAAAACACCAAAGAGAAACAAGGUGUGGUUUGUGAGAAUCCCGUAUGUUGAGGGAGAUAAGGUAAGGUUACAGAAAGGGCUCUCACCAGGGGCUGUGGAACAGGUGGCUCAGCUCGGUCACCUCUAGAUAGAUCAAGACAUAGAGAGCUCAGGGUGGCACUGUGCUGGCUUGUAAUGUUCAAGCCUUUCCUUUAGGAUACUAUGACUAGCAAGGCUCUGAACCCUUCCAUAGCAGUGCCACUAGCUGGGGACCAAGUGUUCAAACACUCGGGCCUGUAGGGACAAUACACACUGAGGCCAUGAUGCUAGAGUUGAGGUUAGUCACUGCUCUCCCAGCCUCCUCAUCCAUGAAAAGAUCGUCUGUAGGAGCACAGUGCAGCUGUGAACAUCCAGCUUGAAAAUGUUUUCGAAGGGUUUUGUAAACUGAAGUGCAAGGAGGAGCAGAGCAUGGCCGCGGAUGCCUGUCACAGAAGCCUUUGGAAGGCUGAGACAGGGUGGAAACUUUUGUCUCAGACGGUGUAGGUAGAUAUCAUUGUCAUCGUCAUUGUCAUCGUCAUCAUCACCUCCAUUUGCCUCAACUGUGUUGCCUCCAAAUUUGCUACCAGAUUGAAUGAUGUUGUAGAUUAGAAUUAAGUUUGACCCUAAUUCCAAAAACAGUAUCAGGUCAUUCCACAAUGAAAUGACUUAAACAUGAAAAAUGUAUUUCACAUGAAAUCCAUGAGAACAGUGUAACACUGUGAUCUUUCUGCUAUGUCCUGAGUAGUUGCCACUCUAAGAUCAUCUCAGAGUCCAGUGUAGUUACACUGCUACAUAUUCAGACUACAUCCCGCCAUUACACCAUUCUCCCUACAAUUCCCUAGAACAAAGUACGUGCCUCUCUCUCUCUCUCUCUCUCUCUCUCUCUCUCUCUCUCUCUCUCUCUCUCUCUCUCUCUUUUAAGAUUUAUUUAUUAUGUACACAGAGUUCCACCUGCAUGUAUACGUGCAGGCCAGAAGAGGGCACCAGAUCUCAUUAUCAAUGAUUGUGCGCCACCAUGUGGUUGCUGGGAAUUGAACUCAUGACCUCUGGGAGAGCAGACAGUGCUCUUAACCUCUGAGCCAUCUCUCCAGCCCAUGCCCCUCCCUCUUAGGUCCCUCCUGGAAAUCUUUCUUCUACUUACCUCCACCAGCCAAACAAUGGAAGCUGGGAAACAUGGUUUUAUUCUGUCUAAAUUAAAAUAAAAAAAAAAAGGUGUGGUCAUAUUACUUGAAAAGGUGACAGCGGUCUCUACAUAGGUGGUCACUUCUCCAUCCUCAUCUUCAUCUCUCUCAUCUCCCUCAGAAUAGCAGAAGCUGAACUCCCCUGACCCUAAAACCUUUUUCCUUUACCACUGAGAACAAAUCACACUCCUGCUUCUCCUCUUCUUUCUGUAAAUGCACCAUGUCUCAACACAGGGCUAACCACAGCUUCUUUUCUCAUCCCCAACUUUCCUCUCAGUGAUGGCCCCAACUCCCAACCCAAAUAAGAAUCUGCUGUCCUUCCUGAGUCUGGUCCAGGGAGGAAGGUGUCCACUAAAGGGCAGGCCCAGGCAUCCAGGCAAGGCCCAUGCAUCCCUGCUCAGGUCCAGGAGCCAAGGGAGAAAGUGCAGCAGGUUCAUCAGGCAUCAGGCCUCUCUGAAGCCCAGACUAGGUCACUUUAGCACAGUAGAGUGGUUGAUCUGAGUAAAGUGCCUGGUCUUGCUGUGGAACCAUGACCAGCCUCCUAGUGUGCCCUUUCCAAGACCAUUCUACUCUUGGGUGCUGUGUUCGGCUCCUGCUCCCAUAGGCUUGGUUCUGCAGGGCCUAUUCCAGUGCUUACCUGCCCUGCAUGUACCUCUGGUCUGUGUGCUCCAGUGCACACCUGCCCUGUGUGCACCGAUGGUUUGUGUGCUGCAGUGCAGCUGUCCUCUGUGCACUGCUGGUGUGUGUGCUCUGUAACAAGAGCAGAACUCCAUUCCUGCACAAAGAAAUCACAUAAGCACAGACAUCUGUGUUUCAGCAGACUUUACUGAAGACUUGAAUAGGUGAAGGAGGUUUACAUAGAAAAAAAUACAAAAACCUUAAAAUUGAAUAUUAGACAUCUGUAGAGUGUAAAAAAGGCCACCAUUCCCACUGCCUGGGUUCUGGCUGUCCAGGAAGGCACACACAUACCUGUGCCCUUUUUAAUUCACAAAGUCUAUAUACAAAAGCCAAGUCGCAGACACUUUUUUGAAGAUAUUUAUUUAGAGAUUCGGCUCCACUGUGUAAGUCCAUGGUGGUGUCCUUCUGCUUCUCGGGGUCAGGGGUUGGGGAUAGAGAGGAUCACAGCUGUGCAGCCGGGUACUUGGCUGGGCAGAUCAGUUAGCUACAUUCUAUAAAGAAUCAAGCCUUUGGGGCAAAGGUCAUUUUCUUUUUGAUCUGUAAGAUGGGUUACCCGAGGUGCCACUGACCCCUGCUACUCGAGCUCUAAGAAGUUUUCAGCACAGGGUCCGGCCCAGGAGGCCACAAUGUAGAAACCGUGGGGGAAGCUCCCACUGUUCUGGUGUUUCUCUUCUGUUCCUGGGUGCCCAGAUAGGGGAUACACUGCCCCAGGUCCCAGGUCCCAGCCUUCCCUCAGUCCUGCAACCUCUGCCAACCUACUCUGUCCCCAGACUGGGAAAGACUAGACUGAGUGCACCAUAGACUAGGGACAAAAGGUCUAUUGCAGAAGUCUAGGAAACAACCAUUUGUACACAUGCAUACAUAAGCGUCUCUCUCUCUCUCUCUCUCUCUCUCUCUCUCUCUCUCUCGUGUUUAUUCAUUUAUUUAGUUUUUUGUGUGUGCAUUGUUUUGUGUAGGGGUGGGGUUGUGUGGUGGUGGGGUGGGCACACACUUUC